CGGAAAUGGGCUGCUGUAGUUGUGUGAAUGCAUCGCUCCAGCCAAUCCAAAGACGGGGUUUGUAACCAAUCAGAUGUAGAGACCAUGUGACUGGCUCCGCCCCCUUACUGUCUGAAAGAACAACAGGGAGCGCGUAGAAAACUCCUUCGCGGCGCGAGCAGAGAUUCUCCUCGCGAGCAACGUCCAAAGUUCACGUCUCGCAAGCGAGCAAAUACCUCACUCGAGACGGACUUUUGCUGGCGGAUGUAUGAUUUACGCGCGCGCAUCAACCUGAUUUGCGCUCUCGAAUUUUGACAGUGAUUUGCGCUGAUAGACUGCAGUAUCUUAUGCGCCUUAUUGUGCGGAAAACACGGCACAUGAGCUCCGGAGAAAAUGGUAUACAAAACAUACAUUGCCGGUUAAUACAUUUUUAAUCGUUUGAAUUCUUAAGGUCAUUUAAUCAUCCCUAGUUUAUGUUUUGAUCAGAGUUGUGAUUAAAGGUUUGGGUGUGCCGCAAAAGAUUUUCAGAUUUCAAAGUGGGCCGCGGCAUUCUUCAGUUUGGGAACCGCUGUGCUAAGCAAAAUGCAGCUCUGGCGUGGAAAGAACCCUAACCCUAAACAUAAAGACGGGGAAAAACAACAAACAUAAACAUAAAGACGAUAAACAUAAACAUAAAGACGGGAAGACGUAAAAACGAAAAAAAUAAACAUAAAGACGCGAAAAACGACAAACAUAAACGUAAAGACGCGAAAAACGACAAACAUAAAGACGGGAAGACGACAAACAUGAACAUAAAGACGGGAAAAACAACAAACAUAAACAUGAAGACGCAAAAAACGACAAACAUAAAAACGGGAAAAUCAACAAACAUAAACAUAAAGACGGGAAGACGACAAACAUAAACAUAAAGACGGGAAAAACAACAAACAUAAACAUAAAGACGGGAAAAUCGACAAACAUAAACAUGAAGACGUAAAAAACGACAAACAUAAAGACGGGAAAAUCGACAAACAUAAACAUAAAGACGGGAAGACGUAAAAACGACAAACAUAAACAUAAAGACUCGAAAAACGACAAACAUAAAGACGGGAAAAACGACAAACAUAAAGACGCGGAAAUCGACAAAGAUGAACAUAAAGACGCGAAAAACGACAAACAAAGACUGGAAGACGACAAACAUGAACAGAAAGACGGGAAAAACAACAAACAUAAACAUAAAGACGCGAAAAACGACAAAUAUAAAGACGCGAAAAACGAAAAACAUAAAGACGAGUAAAACGACAAACAUAAACGUAAAGACGCGAAAAACGACAAACAUAAAGACGGGAAGACGACAAACAUGAACAUAAAGACGGGAAAAACAACAAACAUAAACAUAACGACGCGAAAAACGACAAACAUAAACAUAACGACGCGAAAAACGACAAACAAAGACAGGAAAAUUGACAACCAUAAACAUAAAGACGGGAAGACGACAAACAUAAACAUAAAGACGGGAAGACGGAAAAACGACAAACAUAAACAUAAAGACGGGAAAAACGACAAACAUAAACAUAAAGACGGGAAAAACGACAAACAUAGACGCAAAAACGACAAACAUAAAGACGGGAAGACGGGAAAACGACAAACAUAAACAUAAACAUAAAGACGGGAAGACGUAAAAACGACAAACAUAAACAUAAAGACGGGAAAAUCGACAAACAUAAACAUGAAGACGGGAAGACGACAAACUUAAACAUAAAGACGGGAAAAACAACAAACAUAAACAUAAAGACGGGAAGAUGUAAAAACGACAAACAUAAACAUAAAGACGCGAAAAACGACAGACAUAAAGACGCGAAAAACGACAAACAUAAAGGCGGGAAAAACGACAAACAUAAACAUAUGACGCGAAAAACGACAAACAUAAAGCGCGGGAAAAACUACAAACUUAAACUUAAAGUCGUGGAAAAUGACAAACAUAAACGUAAAGACAAGAAAAGCGACGAACAUAAACAUAAAGAUGGGAAGACGACAAACAUAAACAUAAAGACGGGGAAAAAACAAACAUAAACAAAGACGGGAAGACGGGAAAACGACAAAACGACUAACCCUAACCCUAAACAUAAUGAUGGGAAAAACAACAAAUAUAAAGACGGGAAAAAAGACAAACAUAAACACGGGAAAAUCGACAAACAUAAACAUAAAGACGGGAAAAACAACAAACAUAAACCUAACGUACCCAAGAGGACAAACAUAAACAUAAAC
ensembl:lncRNA